rnacentral:lncRNA from 1 species
AAUGAAGAGAAGUUGACCUCCCUGGGAUGUCGUCACUUCAUUAUUGGCUGCACCUGCGCAAUCAUGUGAUGCGAUACAUUUUUCAAAGACGUUUUUCAAGACACAGGAGAGGUCGGGUUGAAACAUUACUGAUGUUUCACGUUAAAAAUGGCUCUAAAGAUUGAUGCUAAACAACGUUUGACAUGUUUGAACAAUGUAAAUAGAUUAUUUUUUUUACUUUUCGCCGUGAAUCCCCCCCCCCGCGCUACUUUUUAGUAGCCUACCGAAGCGCUAACAACAUGGAACAACUUGGAGUUAUUUGGACAUCAAUUAUGAACUUUGUCAAAAGAAACCACAUUUGUAGUGGACCUGGGAUUUCUAGAAGUGCCAAUGGAUGAAGAUAAUCAAAGCCAACCUUGACAGAAUCACGCACAUGAAUUGAUGGAGUCAGCAGGAGCUUCAGCGCCAGCCCUGUCCAUGGAAGAAAGGGUUGCCCGGGAGUCCAGAAGGCAGGCGGAGCACUCCUUUGACAUCUCAGGCCGGUGGUAGCUGGUCCGAUGCAGGACGAUGAGGUGCAGGAGGUCCCUCCGCCCUUCCUGGACAUCGGGGGGGCCCGGCGUACACAGUCCGGUCCAUCUUGGACUCCAGGUGCUGGGUGAGGGGCCUGCAGUACCUCGUGGACUGGGAGGGGUACGGCCCGGAGGAGAGGUGCUGGGUACGUGUGGAGGACAUAUUGGACCCAGCGCUAAUCCGGGAGUUCCACAGCCUCCAUCCGGAUCGCCCUGCGCAUCGCCCUCCGGGGCAUCCUCGAGGCCGGCGUCGGCUCGCUGUGGGAGCCGCGCGUCGGGGGGUACUGUCACGACACCGACGGAAGGUGGCGCCCCUCCUUGCCCGGGCGGCGCUCGGCGGUCGUCGUCGGCGGCCUACUAGCUGCCAUUGAUCCUCUGUUUCACUUUCUGUUGGUUAGGUCUAGGUUAGGCACGCACCUGUUUUGUAUUUGUUGUUAGUGGGGGGGGUAUUUAGUCUAGCUAGGUAGGUUUGUGUUUUGUGCGUGAUUGUUCUGUGUCAGGACGUAUAUCGUUCGCGGAACAAGUGUUUCCAUCUGCCUGUGUUUUUUUUCGCAGAGGUUAUUGUGGGCUGCGUCCCUGCUGUUUUGAGCUGGGUUUUUGGAGCAUUUGUUUUAUGCGCCCUGCCCUACCUUGUUUCGUACAAUGGAUGCCCAUUAAAAGUGUGUUCACAGAUUUUCUGUCUCCUGCGCUUGACUCUACCUCUCCUGCUUCCUUGAGCCAACCUUGACAUGCGGAGUUACUUGCUUGGAUCUCAAGUU